ensembl:snRNA U6 U6 spliceosomal RNA
GUGCUCACUUUGGCAGCACAUAUACUGAACAUUGGAACAAUACAGAGAAGAUUAGCAUGGCCCCUACUCAGGGAUGACAUGCAAAUUCGUGAAGCAUUCCUUAUUUAC